GAUGAACGCUGGCGGCGUGCCUAAUACAUGCAAGUCGAGCGAACAGACGAGGAGCUUGCUCCUCUGACGUUAGCGGCGGACGGGUGAGUAACACGUGGAUCACCUACUUAUAAGUCUGGGAAAACUUCGGGAAACCGGAGAUAAUACCGGAUAAUAUAUUGAACCGCAUGGUUCAAUAGUGAAAGACGGUUUUGCUGUCACUUAUAGCUGGAUCCGCGCCGCAUUGGCUAGUUGGUACGGUAACGGCUUACCAAGGCAACGAUGCGUAGCCGAACUCUGAGGGGGAUAGGCCGCACUGGAGCGGGGACGCGGACCAUGCGCCUACGAGAGGCAGCAGUAGGGAAUCGGCCGCAGUAGGCGAAAGCCUGACGGAGCAACGCCGCGUCAGAGAUGAAGGUCUUCGGAUCGUAAAACUCUGUUAUGAGGUAUGAACAAAUUUGUAAGGAACUAUGCACGUCUUGACGGUACCGAGUCAGAAAGCCACGGCUAACUACGUG
rnacentral:rRNA from 1 species